CAAGGACUGGUCACAAGGUGGUCACUGUGGAAGUUUCUACAGGCCUUCAUAAAUCUUCAGCGUCAACAUCUUUGGUUAUAUAAAGAGACGAAAAGAACGUCGAAAGAUGCCUGGCAAAAUGCUGACCCUUCUUUUCUUCCUGAUUGCAUUGGUCAACAUUGCUGGUGCCCAAAUUACAUCAACGACUGGCAGCACUACAUCCACAACCACUGGUGCUUCAUCCACAACUUCCACCAGCGCAACCGCUGCUGCAUCCACCACUGUUGCUAGUUUUACAAGCACAGCUGGUUCUACCACCACAUCAGGAGCUACCACCACAGCUGGAGCCACAACCACAGCUUCUAUAACCUCUUCUGGGCCUACAACCACUGCUGGUUCUUCAACCUCUUCUGGGCCUACAACCACUGCUGGUUCUUCAACCUCUUCUGGGCCUACAACCACUGCUAUUUCCUCAACCACAGCUGGUUCUUCAACCACAGCUGCUCUUGCCAUGACUAUAUCUAGAGCAACAACUAUAAGCACUUCUGCUGCUUCAUCUGCCAGCACAAUCAGCUGCAAGACAGCUCUGUAUGCUAUUGUUCUCAUCAUGAUCUCACGAAUGCUAAGCUAUUAUUAAUCAAUGUGUGCACUUGUUUCUCAAUCAGCCAAUAUUCAUUAUAUGAGUCCCAAACCUGGAUAUUGUGGAACAAUGACUAUGUUAAGUAAUACUGGUGUUUAAUGUUGUAGUAAUGUAAGUUCAAACUAAUUUAUUUUUUGUUCAUGACAUGUUGUUGGUCACAUCGUAAUGAAUUAAAUGUAUAACUAUGUGCACAUGCUAGUUUAUCUUUUGUCUACAUGAAGUAUUUUUAUUCUCCUUUUUCCAUGUACAUGUUUU